UAACCUGUCCGUUGCUGCUAUUUCCCAUAUGCCGCAACCUUUAUUCUCCUAUACGAGCCUCGUGGAAUAUGAUGAUCUUCCUCUUCUUGUCACUGGAUAUGGCUAAACGAUUGAUCAGCCUCACAACAAUAUGCUUAAAAGAGAAGAAACCAGAUGAGGGUAGAUUUUUGGUAGGAAACCCGAAAUUUAUGGGUGACAAAUUGGAGGGUGCCAGCAAGGAUGGACAUGGAUAUGCACCAAAAAGCUAAUUGGAUCUCAAUCUGUGAAGGUGCUUGUCGACCGAAAGUUUGAACUAUUGGAGACCUAUGCCACUUUUCAUAGAUUAUGUACUAUCAAGUACUUCUUUGUAGCGCUCUUAUUUUUCUUUACGGAGGGAGUAGUUAAUUUUAGGUUUACUCAUUCAAGAUCUUGACUGGUAAUCCUAUGUAAAUAAGAGCAUCGUCUCCUAAAUAGGUGGAACAAACAGAUUUUCUAUUAUUGAGAUUCCUUUUGAAUAUGUGUGUAGAAGUAAUAGGAUCGAAUUUGGAGUAGCAAUCGCCCGGACCACAAUAGAAAAGUUUGAAGUACUAUUCUGCAAAUAAGAAGUUGUCCCUUACUAUAGAUAUAUUAGGGCUUUUCGAGCUAUUAUUCCGUUAAUUAACUAAACAACAAAAUCAGUUGUUCUCAAAAUGUAUUCUUAUGCCCCAAUAUCAAUG
rnacentral:lncRNA from 1 species